UCGGGUGUGGUGCACGGUGCACGGCAGCUAAUGGUAGUAAGAACUCAUUUGAAUCCAGCUGCAGACCGGGGUUUGACUCCCCGCGCCUGAA